UACGGGGGAGCAAACGUUUGUUCGGAAUUACUGGGCGUAAAGGGCGCGUAGGCGGUCCUGUCAGUGGUGUGUGAAAUCCGAUGGCUCAACCAUCGAGCUGCGCUCCAUACUGCAGGACUUGAGUACAGCAGAGGAAAGUGGAAUUCCCGGUGUAGCGGUGAAAUGCGUAGAUAUCUGGAGGAACACCGGUGGCGAAGGCGGCGUUCUGGACUGCUACUGACACUGAGGAACGAAAAGCCCAGGGGAGCAAAACGGG
rnacentral:rRNA from 1 species